UCGGGGGUCGUCUAACGGCAGGACAAGGGCCUUUGGAGCCCUUUAUCGGGGUUCGAAUCCCUGCCCCCGAGCCA
rnacentral:tRNA from 2 species